rnacentral:rRNA from 1 species
CCCUUAGAUGUUCUGGGCCGCACGCGCGCUACACUGAUGCAUUCAACGAGUCUAAAACCUGCUCUGAUAGGGGUGGGUAAUCUUUUGAAUGUGCAUCGUGAUUGGGAUAGAUGAUUGCAAUUUUUCAUCUUCAACGAGGAAUGCCUAGUAAACGCAAGUCAUCAGCUUGCAUUGAUUACGUCCCUGCCCUUUGUACACACCGCCCGUCGCCCCUACCGAUUGAAUGAUCCGAUGAAUAUCAUGGAUUGAGGAUUAUAGCAGGUUCGCCUGUCUUGAUCUUCGAGAAGUGAAGUAAAUCUUAUCAUUUAGAGGAAGGAGAAGUCGUAACA